rnacentral:rRNA from 1 species
GACGAACGCUGGCGGCGUGCUUAACACAUGCAAGUCGAACGGAAAGGCCCUGCUUGCAGGGUACUCGAGUGGCGAACGGGUGAGUAACACGUGGGUGAUCUGCCCUGCACUUCGGGAUAAGCCUGGUAAACUGGGUCUAAUACCGGAUAGGAGCCAUUUUUAGUGUGAUGGUUGGAAAGUUUUUUCGGUGUAGGAUGAGCUCGCGGCCUAUCAGCUUGUUGGUGGGGUAAUGGCCUACCAAGGCGGCGACGGGUAGCCGGCCUGAGAGGGUGGACGGCCACAUUGGGACUUAGAGACGGCCCAGACUACGACGGGAGGCAGAAGUGGGGAAGAUUGAACAAUGGGCGCAAGCCUGAUGCAGCGAGGCCGCGUGGGGGAUGACGGCCUUCGGGUUGUAAACUCCUUUCGCUAGGGACGAAGCUUUUUGUGACGGUACCUAGAUAAGAAGCACCGGCUAACUACGUG